CAGUCGCCGCGGUAAUACGUAGGGUGCGAGCGUUAAUCGGAAUUACUGGGCGUAAAGCGUGCGCAGGCGGUUGUGUAAGACAGGUGUGAAAUCCCCGGGCUUAACCUGGGAACUGCGCUUGUGACUGCACAGCUAGAGUAUGGCAGAGGGGGGUGGAACUCCACGUGUAGCAGUGAAAUGCGUAGAGAUGUGGAGGAACACCGAUGGCGAAGGCAGCCCCCUGGGCCAAUACUGACGCUCAUGCACGAAAGCGUGGGGAGCAAACAGGAUUAGAUACCCCUGUAGUCCCUGUCUCUUAUAC
rnacentral:rRNA from 1 species